UUGUACACCUGAAUUCAGGACUUGUGGACCC
rnacentral:piRNA from 1 species